rnacentral:lncRNA from 1 species
CGUUAGACGGGUUUACUCUAAGAUGAUCGAUCGUCAAUUACAGGCUUAAAUAAAAGUAUCUCCCAUUUAGGAACAAUAUUGGCAGCAUGAAAUUUGUCUCCAACCGAAGAGAAACUAUGAGCCCGUUGUGGACUCUCUGAAACUGUUACUAAAUCCCACAUUGUUACCAAAUUCCACUUGAAAGAAAUGAGAUUAUCACGGAUAUACACGUUAAGAAUAUUAACCAAAAUUUGCCAGAAUUUCCCAGGAAUACAUAUUGAAUUAAAAGAAUAAUAUGCAUUAAGAAAAAGUGUAUACAGAGGAUCUCUGAUCUAAAACACUGUCAUUGCAGUUGUAUAAUUGACCUUUUUGACAAAACUGCAAUUUCUUCCAAGAACUAGAAAACUUCCUAUAUCAGAUUCUGUAAGAUUACUGUCGCUAGUACAUUUGCAAUUUCCUCCAAGCGUUAAACUUCACAAGAUCAAAACAUACACGCACCCUUAUUGUCGUAAGACGGAAUUCUACCUAUGAGCUCACAUCACAUCCAUGGUUUUAUGAUAGCAUGAAUAUGAAGAUACACCUCACAUUAAGCAACUCUUUAUUCAAAAUAAGUUGUAGUAUUUAACUGCUAACAAUUGAGUAUAUAGCAUACACAACCACACAGUAUAACCCCACUUCGAUCAAGAAGAUAUAUGAAUUCAAAACAAAGAUAUGUUGCAAUUUUUCUAUUUACUACAUAUGCCAAAUAAAAAAAUGCACAAACACUAGAGAUAACUUGGCAUAAAAUCUUAAGGAGCCAAUACAACUCUAUCGUGAAUCAGAUGCCAUGUUAUAAAUCAAUUCUGAUGGGGAAAACAGUUUUAUAGAGCUGAAUCCCUGAUCAUUGAUUAUGGAUCCACUUCUUGUAUAACUCAAUAUAGUAAACCAAAAGAAGAAAAGAAAGUUGCAGGAGACACCAAAAUUGUUCUUCUACUAUCAGAAUGCUGAUCUUUACCUUUUAGAGCAGAGUUGAUUGAACAUAGGUGCCAACAACGGCAUGACCGGAUUUAAGAUUGCUGUCAAGAUAAAGUUGUAACUUGACAUAGCCGUCGGGUUUUUUUUUUUUUUUUGGGGGGGGGGGGGGGGG